rnacentral:tmRNA from 1 species
GGGGGUGUACCGGUUUCGACGUGGGUUUUGAACUUGAGACAGCAUGUCGUGUUACUCUGGGUCACGUAAAAACUGGGGAAAUUUAAAACAAACGCAAACGAAAACAAUUUAUUAGCUGCCUAGUAGCAGCUCGUCCCUCUUAAUCCUCCUGCCGAUUAAGAGCUGACGCUAUCUAUGCAGGGAACUACUUUGGGGGUGUCUUGACCCACAGUGGACUAAUUAGGGCUGGAUGAUUUUGGAACCUGUCACUCGGUGCCAAAGGAGUCGAGAUUUUAAAAGAGAUGACUAAGCAUGUAGGCGUAGCAGGGAAGAGGCUUGCGGACAGGGGUUCGACUCCCCUCAUCUCCACCA